rnacentral:lncRNA from 1 species
UUACCUUGAGAAUUUGAGCCUAUUUGACUAUGUUGUGAUCUAGGCAUCUCAUCCUUUAAAUUUGAUUUAGCAUUUGAAGCUUAUUCUAUUGUACUUAGAGAUCUUUCAUUAUCCACAUCUCACGUGACUCUAAUAAAGCUUGUAAAUCAUUAACACCUCGUUUGGAAUGUGGUGAAUGAUAGAAUUUUAAUAUAUGAUACUCCACAGG